UGGGGAAUAUUGCACAAUGGAGGGAACUCUGAUGCAGCGACGCCGCGUGAACGAAGAAGGCUUUCGAGUCGUAAAGUUCUUUUAUAUGGGAAGAUAAUGACGGUACCAUAAGAAAAAGCCCCGGCUAACUACGUGCCAGCAGCCGCGGUAAUACGUAGGGGGCUAGCGUUGUCCGGAAUCACUGGGCGUAAAGGGUUCGCAGGCGGAAAUGCAAGUCAGGUGUAAAAGGCAGUAGCUUAACUACUGUAAGCAUUUGAAACUGCAUAUCUUGAGAAGAGUAGAGGUAAGUGGAAUUUUUAGUGUAGCGGUGAAAUGCGUAGAUAUUAAAAAGAAUACCGGUGGCGAAGGCGACUUACUGGGCUCAUUCUGACGCUGAGGAACGAAAGCGUGUGUAGCAAACAGG
rnacentral:rRNA from 2 species